rnacentral:precursor_RNA from 12 species
AUCUUCCCUCUUGCAUGUCCCUUCUGACGCACCCUAACUGAGGGCAUUUAUUGGAUAUUUGGAAAGAUAAGUGCUCUCCGUUGGGGUGAGAAAGGUGUGGAACAAGCUUUCUUCACCCC